ACAUAUAAAGCAAUUUGCAAUUAGUUUCGACCUAAUCCUAAGAUUUAUAUUUAAAUCUAUAUGUU
rnacentral:tRNA from 1 species